GACGAACGCUGGCGGCGGGCUUAACACAUGCAAGUCGAGCGGAAAGGCCCUGCUUUUGUGGGGUGCUCGAGUGGCGAACGGGUGAGUAACACGUGAGUAACCUGCCCUUGACUUUGGGAUAACUUCAGGAAACUGGGGCUAAUACCGGAUAGGAGCUCCUGCUGCAGGGUGGGGGUUGGAAAGUUUCGGCGGUUGGGGAUGGACUCGCGCCUUAUCAGCUUGUUGGUGGGGUAGUGGCUUACCAAGGCUUUGACGGGUAGCCGGCCUGAGAGGGUGACCGGCCACAUUGGGACGGGGAUGCGGCCCAGACUCCUCCGGGACGGAGCGGUGGGGAAUAGUGCACAAUGGGCGGAAGCCUGAUCCAGCAACGCCGCGUGGGGGAUGUCGUCAUGCGGGUUGUAAACCGCUUCCCCCUGUGAUGAGGAGUGAGUGACGGUAAUGGGUAAAGAAGCACCGGCUAACUACGUG
rnacentral:rRNA from 1 species